rnacentral:lncRNA from 1 species
CAAAGAGCUCCACCUCAAUCUCCUGCCCCGGCACCUCAUGCACAAUGAACUCGUACACCUCAUCCCAGGUGGGGCUGAGCUCGUUCUGCACCACGCGGCUGUUCGCCACCUGCGUGCCCACCCUCAGCACGGCGUAGGGGUCCGACUUCCCCUCCACCAACCCCCCCAUGAAGCGGUCUUUGCUGCGCAGCUCCCGCGCUCCAAACAGAUGCACGCGCACCACACCC